CACUGCUUGACCCUCAACACGGAGCUCUGUCUCGUCUUUGGGGGGAUUUACUGUAUGCUGCUAAGGACUGAUUGCCAGGAGUGUAAGCCGCUUGUCUGCUUUUCCUGUUCGUCUGAUAGCAGCAAUUCGUAUGGUUCCUGUUCGUGUAUUUGGAGUGCUACCUUAUUCCCUUGUAUGCCGUUCGGGAGUUUGGAGCAUUCACUUAUAUGCAGUUUGAGUGUUUGGAGCAUUCCCUUGUAUGCAGUUCGAGUGUUUGGAGCAUUCCCUUGUAUGCCGUUCGGGAGUUUGGAGCAUUCACUUGUAUUCAGUUCGUGAGUUUUGGUGAUUCUACAGUAGCUGUGCCUGUCUCUGAAAGGGGAUUAUCGUCUAAGCGGUUUUUACCCCUUUUGUGCAAAACGGUCCGUUACAGAUGUGAGAUCUGUCUGAUGGCUGAAUCACCCCAUCAGCUGACAGUUGGUUUAAUGCUG